GCACCCGCCUAUGGUAUCCUCACAGGUGCCUCUGCUCAGCUCUAUCUGCUUGUUCCCUUGACCACCCUGCAACCAGAUGACCACCGAUAGCAGCGCAGAAGAGGGAGCAGAUGAAAUACAACAGUUUAGUGAUGUAAGGCUGGAAAAAAGCCAUCAUAUGCUGGCAGCACUACGUGGGGCGCGGAUUUGUGCAAACAAGGAGAAAUGUGUUUGUCCCUCUUCAAAAGUUCUCGCUGGCUUGGUAAGUUGGAUGAUUUUCAGGGUCUUCUAUUUAUUUAUUUAUUUCCUCCUGGCUUUCUUGAUGCAGUAGAAGCGCCAGUCCCACUUACAGUAUGUACAGAUGUCCGUGCCUUGCUCUCAGACUCCCCGCAGGCGAACGAUGAUAAAUGAGGAGGAAAAGAAAGAUGGCUUUUAAAGAAUGACCUUAGGAAACAAACACUGCAGAAAUAGUUGCUAUGCCUGGUGUUUCGUCUGUGAAUGCCUGGGGAAAUUAACGCAUGUACAAGUGGGAAAUGCAUCCAUAUCUUUGGGCAGAGAAGACCAGAAGUUUUUGCACAGUAGCUGGCUCUUUGGGGCUGGACUUCUGCUGCUGUAUCUACGGGUUUCUUUUCUAAAAGGGAAAAGAGAUCAUUGCUGAAAGAUAUUUUAAAUGAAAUAUCAAAUACACAGUAAUUCUUAUUGCCUAAUGGUCCUCAUUUUUCUCAGUACUUGUCAGAUUUCUCCUUAGCUUGAGUGGCAAGUACCUUCUCUGUCAUACAGCAGCUGUGCUGUUGAUGGUUAACUUUUCAUGACCUCCCUCUUCUUGUUCUCUUUCUUUCUGUGAAAUAUGUUCAUAAUGUAUUUAGCCUCACUGUCUUUGGCAGUGAUUCUGAAUGGUAUUUGCCCUAGUGGGAUGGUUGCAUCAUUGGAUAUUUAUAUUUCAAAAAUAAAAACCUUGUUUGUUUCGUUAGUUCCA
rnacentral:lncRNA from 1 species